AUUGAACGCUGGCGGAAUGCUUUACACAUGCAAGUCGAACGGCAGCACGAGAGCUUGCUCUUGGUGGCGAGUGGCGAACGGGUGAGUAAUAUAUCGGAACGUAUCCAAUAAUGGGGGAUAACUAAUCGAAAGGUUAGCUAAUACCGCAUACGCCCUACGGGGAAAGCAGGGGAUCUUCGGACCUUGCGUUAAUGGAGCGGCUGAUAUCUGAUUAGCUAGUAGGUGAGGUAAAGGCUCACCUAGGCUUCGAUCAGUAGCUGGUCUGAGAGGACGACCAGCCACACUGGAACUGAGACACGGUCCAGACUCCUACGGGAGGCAGCAGUGGGGAAUUUGGACAAUGGGGGCAACCUGAUCCAGCAAUGCCGCGUGAGUGAAGAAGGCC
rnacentral:rRNA from 1 species